GAUGAACGCUGGCGGCGUGCCUAACACAUGCAAGUCGAACGGAGUCGUUUUGGAAAUCUCUUCGGAGAUGGAAUUCUCGACUUAGUGGCGGACGGGUGAGUAACGCGUGAGCAAUCUGCCUUUAAGAGGGGGAUAACAGUCGGAAACGGCUGCUAAUACCGCAUAAAGCAUUAAAUUCGCAUGUUUUUGAUGCCAAAGGAGCAAUCCGCUUUUAGAUGAGCUCGCGUCUGAUUAGCUGGUUGGCGGGGUAACGGCCCACCAAGGCGACGAUCAGUAGCCGGACUGAGAGGUUGAACGGCCACAUUGGGACUGAGACACGGCCCAGACUCCUACGGGAGGCAGCAGUGGGGAAUAUUGCGCAAUGGGGGAAACCCUGACGCAGCAACGCCGCGUGAUUGAAGAAGGCCUUCGGGUUGUAAAGAUCUUUAAUCAGGGACGAAAUAAAUGACGGUAC
rnacentral:rRNA from 1 species